AGCAAGUCCUUCCACAUGCUGCCUACCUUACGGAGAGGUCAGCCAGAUUGUGGAGGAUGGGGAUCGACGGAUUGGUCCCGGACCCCAUGAUAAAUAUUUUCAAGGGAUGGGAUCUAAGUAUCGAACCCGGGCCCACCAAAAUGGAAAGACGAAGCGUUUCCAUACUGCAAAUCUGGCCGACAAUGUCUAUUCUUAUUGUUGUUAUUAUUAUUAAAAGAUUAAAUUUAUAUAAACAACCAUCAUUAUUAAUAAAUCAUAAGGAACGUGAUAUAUAAUGAUAAAUUAAUCUUUACAAAUCAGAUCAUACAAAUUUGAAUGCGCUAUAUUCAUAAAUAAAAUAAUAUUAAAGUCUAGAACAGCGGUUCCCAAUCUUUUUGGUCCCCGUAUACUCUUGGCUGUUAGUAAAUUAUCCGGUACCCUAUGCGCAUGCGUUGGAGAUGCAGAUGCCUCGGAGGCGAGCCUCGAGAGGGGGCCGAUCUGGCAAUUUCACUAGCUAUCUUAAAUCUUAACCGGGCAUUUGGAAUUAUCGGAUCCUGCAGUAAGAAAGAAGUCUAUGUAACUUCACUGGAAUAAUCCAGAAAUGUUGAUAACAACUAUUUUGAUAACAUAUUAAUAGCAUAAUAUAUUUAUUUAUCUACUAUUCACCAUACCUUUGGAUAAACUUCCUGUACUCCCUAGGGGUACGGGCAUCUCUGGUUGGAAUUCUUGGUCUAGAGGUUAACUUUAAUCUCUAGACUAGUGGUCAGUAAAGAAAAAUAGUAUGCAUCAAUUUUAUCAGUAAAGAAUAAUAGCAAGUAGAUAUGUAUUAUGACAAGCAAAACAUAGUAAUAUUCGAAAAUUUCUUAGGCAUCCUUAAUGGUUCGUGUACCAUUCUUUGGGGACAACUAUUACAAACUAUAACAUAAAAGGAAAAAUAAUAUUCUUAAUAAAAUAUAUUUAUUGUAGUAUAAAAUAACAUUAUUUUUAUAGGUUAUUUCAUAAUUUGUUUUGUUUAAUUCAAUAUCUGAAAUGAACUGAAGUCCUAAUAUAUAGCAAUAAUCUUUUUAAUUAAAAAAUUAUCUAUACAAUAUUUAAAGAUAUUAAAUAAAUUCUUAUAA
rnacentral:lncRNA from 1 species